GGUCUCUGGGCCGUUACUGACGCUGAGGAGCGAAAGCGUGGGGAGCGAACAGGAUUAGAUACCCUGGUAGUCCACGCCGUAAACGGUGGAUGCUGGAUGUGGGGCCCGUUCCACGGGUUCCGUGUCGGAGCUAACGCGUUAAGCAUCCCGCCUGGGGAGUACGGCCGCAAGGCUAAAACUCAAAGAAAUUGACGGGGGCCCGCACAAGCGGCGGAGCAUGCGGAUUAAUUCGAUGCAACGCGAAGAACCUUACCUGGGCUUGACAUGUUCCCGACGGUCGUAGAGAUGCGGCUUCCCUUCGGGGCGGGUUCACAGGUGGUGCAUGGUCGUCGUCAGCUCGUGUCGUGAGAUGUUGGGUUAAGUCCCGCAACGAGCGCAACCCUCGCCCCGUGUUGCCAGCGGAUUAUGCCGGGAACUCACGGGGGACCGCCGGGGUUAACUCGGAGGAAGGUGGGGAUGACGUCAGAUCAUCAUGCCCCUUACGUCCAGGGCUUCACGCAUGCUACAAUGGCCGGUACAACGGGAUGCGACGCGGCGACGCGGAGCGGAUCCCUGAAAACCGGUCUCAGUUCGGAUCGCAGUCUGCAACUCGACUGCGUGAAGGCGGAGUCGCUAGUAAUCGCGAAUCAGCAACGUCGCGGUGAAUGCGUUCCCGGGCCUUGUACACACCGCCCGUCAAGUCAUGAAAGUGGGCAGCACCCGAAGCCGGUGGCCUAACCCCUUGUGGGAUGGAGCCGUCUAAGGUGAGGCUCGUGAUUGGGACUAAGUCGUAACAAGGUAGCCGUACCGGAAGGUGCGGCUG
rnacentral:rRNA from 1 species